UUUCCGUAGGUGAACCUGCGGAAGGAUCAUUAUCGAGUUUUGACUGGGUUGUAGCUGGCCUUCCGGGGCAUGUGCACGCCCUCCUCAUACACUCUACACCUGUGCACUUACUGUGGGCAUCAGUUCGUGAAGCGUGGUCUUUUACUGCAGCUUGUGAAGCGUGUCUGUGCCUGCGUUUAUCACAUACUCUAUAAAGUAUCAGCAUGUGUAUUACGAUGUAACCCAUCUAUAUACAACUUUCAGCAACGGAUCUCUUGGCUCUC
rnacentral:misc_RNA from 1 species